rnacentral:rRNA from 1 species
GACGAACGCUGGCGGCGUGCUUAACACAUGCAAGUCGAGCGGUAAGGCCCUUUCGGGGGUACGACGAGCGGCGAACGGGUGAGUAACACGUGGGUGACCUGCCCUCAGCUCUGGGAUAAGCCUGGGAAACCGGGUCUAAUACUGGAUAUGACUCCAUGACGCAUGUUGUGGGGUGGAAAGCCUUGUGCGGCUGAGGAUGGGCCCGCGGCCUAUCAGCUUGUUGGUGGGGUGAGGCCUACCAAGGCGACGACGGGUAGCCGGCCUGAGAGGGCGACCGGCCGCACUGGGACUGAGACACGGCCCAGACUCCUACGGGAGGCAGCAGGUGGGGAAUCUUGCGCAAUGGGCGAAAGCCUGACGCAGCGACGCCGCGUGAGGGAUGACGGCCUGG